ACUUCGAAGAACUUAAUUGGAGUUCUAGAUAUAUACGGAUUCGAGAGUUUCAAGACAAACAGCUUCGAGCAAUUUUGUAUCAAUUUGACAAAUGAGAAGUUACAGCAGCAUUUCAACCAGCAUGUCUUCAAAAUGGAGCAAGAGGAAUAUACAAAGGAAGAAAUUGAUUGGAGUUAUAUAGAGUUCGUUGAUAAUCAAGAUGUUCUCGAUCUUAUUGAGAAG